rnacentral:misc_RNA from 1 species
AAGUCGUAACAAGGUUUCCGUAGGUGAACCUGCGGAAGGAUCAUUAAUUAAAUGAUAAACAUCAAUCAGCCACGUGAGUGGGUAAUUGAUUAGUUUAAUUGGUUAUUUAUAAUCAAUUGACCAGUCGAUUAUUAAUACUCUAUUGGCAUUUUGUUCAAUUAUUGAAAUAGUAUUUUAAAUAUUAUUUCAAGCUAUUUUGGGGGUAAAAUCCCAAAAUUAAAACUAAUUUUAAUAUUAUUUAAACUAAAACGCAUUCUAUUGUAUUUAAUUGUAAAAUUAAUAUAACAACUAAUAACAAUGGAUCUCUUGGCACU